rnacentral:rRNA from 1 species
AUUGAACGCUGGCGGCAUGCUUUACACAUGCCAGUCGAACGGCAGCGCGGGCCUCGGCCUGGCGGCGAGUGGCGAACGGGUGAGUAAUACAUCGGAACGUGCCCAGUAGUGGGGGAUAGCUCGGCGAAAGCCGGAUUAAUACCGCAUACGACCUGAGGGUGAAAGCGGGGGAUCUUCGGACCUCGCGCUAUUGGAGCGGCCGAUGGCAGAUUAGCUAGUUGGUGGGGUAAAGGCCUACCAAGGCGACGAUCUGUAGCUGGUCUGAGAGGACGACCAGCCACACUGGGACUGAGACACGGCCCAGACUCCUACGGGAGGCAGCAGUGGGGAAUUUUGGACAAUGGGCGAAAGCCUGAUCCAGCAAUGCCGCGUGUGUGAUGAAGGCCUUCGGGUUGUAAAGCACUUUUGGCGGGAACGAAAAGGACUGUGCCAAUACCACGGUUCGAUGACGGUACCCGCAGAAUAAGCACCGGCUAACUACGUG